rnacentral:rRNA from 1 species
GACGAACGCUGGCGGCGUGCUUAACACAUGCAAGUCGAACGGAAAGGCCCUGCUUUUGUGGGGUGCUCGAGUGGCGAACGGGUGAGUAACACGUGAGUAACCUGCCCUUGACUUUGGGAUAACUUCAGGAAACUGGGGCUAAUACCGGAUAGGAGCUCCUGCUGCAUGGUGGGGGUUGGAAAGUUUCGGCGGUUGGGGAUGGACUCGCGGCCUAUCAGCUUGUUGGUGGGGUAGUGGCUUACCAAGGCUUUGACGGGUAGCCGGCCUGAGAGGGUGACCGGCCAAAUUGGGAUGAGGAUGCGGCCCAGACUCCUAGGGGAGGCAGCAGGGGGGAAUAUUGCAAAAUGGGCGGAAGCCUGAUGAAGCAACGCCGCGGGGGGGAUGGGGGCCUUCGGGUUGUAAACCGUUUUCGCCUGGAACGAAGGGGGGGGGGGGGUAAUGGGUAAAUAAGCACCGGCAAACUACGU